rnacentral:misc_RNA from 1 species
AGUCGUAACAAGGUUUCCGUAGUUUGCGAUCGCUGGAGGCCGACACGGCCGGUGACCGGGCUGCUGUGGCGAGAUGCCGCUAUAUUUACCCCACUACCUGAACUUGGGUCGCAGGAACUGCUUCCCCUUAAAUCCGAACACUGUUAACAAUGGAUAUCUUGGUUCUC